UACGUAGGGCGCAAGCGUUGUCCGGAAUUAUUGGGCGUAAAGAGCUCGUAGGCGGUUUGUCGCGUCUGCUGUGAAAACUCAGGGCUUAACCCUGAGCUUGCAGUGGGUACGGGCAGACUAGAGUGCGGUAGGGGAGACUGGAAUUCCUGGUGUAGCGGUGAAAUGCGCAGAUAUCAGGAGGAACACCGGUGGCGAAGGCGGGUCUCUGGGCCGUAACUGACGCUGGAGGAGCGGAAAGCAUGGGAGCGAACAG
rnacentral:rRNA from 1 species